rnacentral:rRNA from 1 species
GAUGAACGCUAGCUACAGGCUUAACACAUGCAAGUCGAGGGGCAGCAUGAACUUAGCUUGCUAAGUUCGAUGGCGACCGGCGCACGGGUGAGUAACACGUAUCCAACCUGCCUUCAACUCAGGGAUAGCCUUUCGAAAGAAAGAUUAAUACCCGAUGGCAUAGUUCUUCCGCAUGGUAGAACUAUUAAAGAAUUUCGGUCAUCGAUGGGGAUGCGUUCCAUUAGCUUGUUGGCGGGGUAACGGCCCACCAAGGCAUCGAUGGAUAGGGGUUCUGAGAGGAAGGUCCCCCACAUUGGAACUGAGACACGGUCCAA